AACACUAGUUCACUUGAUGCAACCUCUAUGUACCCAUCCGGGCUUGCUGUUCUUUCGUGAUCCAUUCUCCAAACCAAACGACCUCCUUGAAAGCAAUUUAAUUGGAUGCGACAAGUUACUACUGACUGGUGGCCAACACAAUCCCAAACAUCAAGUCAAAGAGUAGAAAUGAGGAGAGGAAAUCCAGGUCGCGACGAACAACUGAAAAACAAAAGGAAAUGAAGAACUGCCUCAAUUCUUCGUGGCAUAGAUUCAACAAGGUGCUGGAAGCAUUCCUCAGAGUGUUUGGUCCAUAUUGAGAUGAUGGCAUCACACAGUUGGUGCAGAUUUGUCGGCUGCAGAUCCAUGAUGUGAAGCUCCCGUUCCACCACAUCCCAAAGAUGCUCUAUUGGAUUGAGAUCUGGUGACUGUGGAGGCUAUUUGAGUACAGUGAACUCAUUGUCAUGUUCAAGAAACCAGUCUGAGAUGAUUCCAGCUUUAUGACAUGGCGCAUUAUCCUGCUGAAAGUAGCCAUCAGAAGUUGGGUACAUUGUGGUCAUAAAGGAAUGGACAUGGUCAGCAACAAUUCCUCAGAGUCCUGCAAACAUCACUGUAGAAGAUCUUCACCCUGAGAAGCACAAUCCCGUCCACGUUAAACAGAAGGAGGAGUCCGAUAUGCCGUUGAUCAAACAGGAGGCGGAGCCAGAGACCUCUGACAUCAAAGAAGAAAAACAGGAAAUUGAAAUCAAGUGUCCAAUGGGUAGUGGUGUGAAGAGCGAAGAAGACGAAGGACCAAGCGAAGAGAGCAGAGCAGCGAACCCUUUGAGCGACAGCUCAUUUCAGCACCAGACAACAAAAGGAGAGCAACCGGACGCCCUCUCAGCUCCGCUUUCGGACAGCGAUGACAUAAUGUCACAUUCUUCUGACUUUAAUACUGAUGAGAAGGAGGAUGACUUUGACCAAAAUGCUUCAAAAUCCUUAGACAAGUCAUCGUUUAAAAGAGACGCAAAAGAAGGCGCAGUUGGGAAACCUUUCACCUGCACACUUUGUGGUAAAAGAUUUUCUCGGAAAUCUAAUUUAGAAAGACAUAAGCCCACACAUACUGGAGAGAAGCCUUUUGUGUGCACGUGUUGUGGUAAACGAUUCACUCAGAAGGGAACUUUAGUAUCGCACACAAGAUACCACACUGGAGAGAAGCCUUUUGCCUGCACACUUUGUGGUAAAAGAUUCAUCGCGAAGGGCUGUUUAAAGAAACACACAAGAACACACACUGAAGAGAAGCCUUAUGCCUGCACAUUUUGUGGUAAAAGAUUCACUCAUAAGGGAGAUUUAAACAAACACACAAGCAAACACACCGGAGAGAAGCCUUAUGCCUGCACACUUUGUGAUAAAAAAUACUCCACGAAGGCAAAAUUAAACAUUCACACAAGAACACAUACUGGAGAGAAGCCUUUUGCCUGCACACUUUGUGAUAAAAGAUUCUCCGCGAAGGAAAGAUUAAACAUUCACGCAAGAACACACACUGGAGAGAAGCCUUAUGCCUGCACUUUUUGUGAUACAAAAUACGCCAAAAAGGAAUGUAUAAACAUUCACAUGAGAACACACACUGGAGAAAAGCCUUUUGCAUGCUCACUUUGUGGUAAACGAUUCGCUCAGAAAGGAAAUUCAGUAAGGCACGCAAGAAGCCACACUAAGUAAAAACCUUUGAAUUUUAGCGUGUGAGAAAAUAUUGUGAUUCCUGUAUUUACAAUGGAAAAAGCAUUUCAAUUUCAUUAUCCGGUUUCUCACAAGCCUCUUUUGAAAAAGUUGUUAAUGAUUUUUCAGGUGCUGUUCUUUUUUUACAACUAUCCAAUUCAUAUAUGGCAGAAAACACAGACAAGGUUGAAAAGGCAGUGUCUGCUCUUGAACCCCUCUUUAAAAUAAACUGCUGUCUUUUAAGCCAAAACAACUGUUGUGUUUGAUAGAACAAUAUGUCUAUAUGCUGCCAUAGCAGAAUCAUGGCGCAAUAAGCCCCCAAACUAUUUUUAAUAUGUCAGUUUUACCCUGGAAAAUCCGGUUACAGAUGUCGCACAACCGCUUUUAUUUCAGCCCAUUCAGAAAAAGAAGGUAAGUAAUUAGAUAUAUUAUUUGAAAAGUCUGUCAUUUUUAGCUUAGAAUCAUUAAUUGAUGUGUAAUAUUUGGUUAAAAAAAAAAAAAAAAAAGAUUCAAAACUUUAAACAAAUUACAUUACAAUGAAAAAAAUGGUGUCUGUAAAUUAGUCACGGAUAUCUACCUUAUAACUGUCACUUGUAUUUUUUUUGUAACAGUCACAUUUUCUACAAUAUGUUAGAUGGUAAAUGGUGUUAUACUUGUGUUGCGCUUUUCCACCUUUCAAGGCUCUCAGCGCUUUACACCACAUCGCCAUCCACCUACUGGUGACGCAGCACCAGGAGCAAUGUAGGGUUUAGCAUCUUGCUCAAGGAUACUUAGGCAAGUUCAUAAGGGGAGACAAUUGAACCCACAUCCUCUAGGUUGGGGGUAGGGUUGCCACAUUUCAGAAAUAAGGAAUACAGGACGCCCCCCUCGCGCCCAAAGCUGUACAGGCAGAGAAAAAAAGGGACAUCCCCAAAACUCCUAAAAUGCAUAGAAAUGUAUCUAUUCAUUUAUAUUCUAUAUUAGUUCAAUACGGAAUGCAAUAUUUAAUUCCCAAUUUCUGAUUGUUCCUUAUUUUAAGGGAUAGGUGGCAACCCUAGUUGGGGGACAACAACUCUACCACUGAGCCAACCCACCUCCAUGAUAAUCGAUCCAAACAAAGAAAAAAUGGGGUGGGAUGGGGGGGACGUUUAAAAGGGUAACUAUCUGAAAAAGAAAAUCUACCACUCCUUGAUGUCUGAGAUUUCUGCAUUGCGACCCUUGUUAUAUUACCAUGUUUGACCGAUAAAAUCCUGCUGUGGUCAUUUGCAGCUGUGUCUAGACACUCUGUGAUACAUGCUAAAUGGAGAUUUUGGAACGAAACAAGUACACGAUAAUAUCUUGGUAAAAUCAUGGCGUCUUUAUGCUCCAUCAUGCCCUCAGGGUUUUGCUGUUUAAUUUUUUUUUUUUUAAUGCCAUCCUGUUCAACAUUUUUUCUUCCCCAAGAAAAUUGAGAUUUUAAGCUUUUCAAUGAUGUAUCACACAUGCAUAUCGGACAAUUUUGGAAAGUGGGCUAAGUUGGGGGUCUCAGAGCGGAACUUCAAGUCACCUGAGUGUUUUCUGCCAUAUAUAUGUUUUAAAUUGUGUAAAUUGCAUUACAUGUCUUUGAUUGUUCCAUAAAUUCCUAACAUCUUGCUUUUAAGGGUGUUAAGAAAAAUUGAUUCUUAAAUCAUGUUAUUACGUCACGCAAUUCUCGUGUCGAUUCAAAAUCUGUCUGCAUCAAUCUUUAUACAGUAGGAAGAACAAGUAUUUGAUACACAGUCAAUGGGAAGACCCAUUGGCAGUGUAUCAAAUACUUGUUCUCCCCACUAUACGUGUGUUUUUGGUGGAAAGAAUUCAAUGGCUGCACUCUUUACUCCCGCCCAGCAGCAUGCAGCAGCAUUGCCUUGUAUGUAACAACAACAUUAGACUAAUCUGAGUAGAGGGUUUUGUAUGUCGCCCUCUAGUGGUUGGCAGUCAUUACUGGGGUGUUUACACACUUAUUGCAGCCCACCGUUAGUCGAUGUUAACAGUAACAUUAGCUGCUGUAUGCUGAGAGCGGCACACCUCAGCAAUGGUGGACGGGGUACUUCCGGUCGUUUUUCUUAGAUUCAUCCUUUUUAUAAAUCUGAAAUUAGGGUUUAUUUUGGCUUUAACUGCAAAAACGGAGGCGUGGAGUAUUUAGAAUCCUGCUUUAAGCAGGUUUGGACUAAAGCAGGUUUCUAAAUAAGAGAAAAUGUUUUAAUUAAAGGCAUAUGUUGUUCAACCAUGAAACAAAAACGGUUACGCGAAUGCUGGAUGAGCUUUCAGGAAUAAAUUGAUAUAAAUGUACUUUUAUACAUCCGUAGAGAUUGAGGGGAGGUAGGCGCCCCCCUAGUGGGCAAAAAAUAUAAUUUCAUAUAAUUGAGUAUAUAUUUACUUAAUUUUCCUAUAGAUAAAUAUACAAACAGGUAGUCCCCCGGGUACGACGGACCCGAAUUACGCAAUUUCAACUUUACAAUGCAUGAGUCUUUUUUUUUUUUUUUUUUUUUUUGAAAUGUCGAAUUUUGUUAUACAUCAUUUUAUUUUGAUUGAUUUUAUGAUUUUAUGGUCGAAUACUUGGGGCCAGUUUAUGUGGUUGUUUUUGAUGAUGUGCGGACGCUAAGUGAUCCAUGCUAAUCAUUUGUUAUUGCUGUAUCAGCAGCUCCUUGUAAAUGCAAAUUUGAAUUGCUGCUGUUGGAGAUGAGACGGAUUUAAUUUUAGUCUCAUCUGAAAGUGUUGAUGUCGUUAGCAGCUGAAUAAAGUCAGCAAACCACACGGACGUCUGACAUUAUUUCGGAGCUUAGCUCACUGUCUAGCUAGGACUUCGCUCCAUCUUGGAGAGGACAGUACAAUUUAGAGCAGGGGUCAGGAGCAUCUGGCUUGCAGACAAGUAUUUAAUUAUAAAAAAAAGUUUUGUUAUAUCAAUCGGUGCCAAAUAAAAACUGGGAGAGAGAUUAAAAUCUGCGCUUUCGAGUCAUGUUGAGAGCAAAACUAUAUCAAAUAGUUCAUUUUUUACGGUGCAAUAAAGACACUACAUGAUUGAAGAGGCUGGGGUGAAGAUAGAACGGCAAGCUGGCGUCUGAUUGGUGUAAUGGAGUCAUGUGAUCAAUGUCACGAUGUCUAAUUGGUGAAAUCGAUAGAGCUACCCCGGUAUUACACCAGGCAUAUCUCUUAGCAUCGCUGGUAAAAAAAAAAAAUAAUAAUAAUAAUAAUAAUAAUUGAUACAGUAUGUAGAAUAAAGAGGAAAAAUGUAACGGCUGUUGCGUAGCCCAAAGAAACAACCUGGUUUGAGUCUAUGCUUCUUGCCAACAGCGUCCUCUCCUGGCCGUUCCUUCUCUUCGCCUCGAUGUAGUUCUUCCUUGUACUCUUCUUCUUUCGUACUUUAGGAAUGGUUAGCGGAGGGAAAAAAGCUAAAUUAAAUGAGCCGGAGAGUCUUCAAUGCUUAAAAAUGACCCGAGCUCUUUGCUGGAAGACGUCCAGUGACUCGAAUUCGGAUAUGUUGAUCAUAUUUAUUGAAUAUUUUUGUGAUGUGAAGUCGUGAUGGAAUUUCCAAACGCUUGAUCACAUCACGCUAAAGUUUCAGCACUGGAACGUUUCUACUUCCGGUUCACUUGACGCAACCUCUGUGUACCCAUCUGUUCUUUCGUGUUCCCUUCUAUUAACCGAACGACCUCCUUCAAAACGUUUUCAUUGAAUGCGACAAUUACCACUGACUGAAGGGAGGCCAACGCAAUCCCGAACAUCAAAGAGUAGAGACGUGGAAAAUGAGGAGAGGAACUCCAGGUCACGACGAACAACUGAAAAACAAAAGGAAAUGAAGAGUCCUGCAGACUUCACUGUAG